rnacentral:rRNA from 1 species
CCUACGGUGGGCAGCAGUGGGGGAUAUUGCACAAUGGGGGGAACCCUGAUGCAGCGACGCCGCGUGGGUGAAGGAGUUCUUCGGCAUGUAAAGCCCUAUCGGCAGGGAAGAAGCAAGACGGUAUCUGACUAAGAAGCCCCGGCUAACUACGUGCCAGCAGCCGCGGUAAUACGUAUGGUGCAAGCGUUAUCCGGAUUUACUGGGUGUAAAGGGAGCGCAGGCGGCACGGCAAGCCUGAUGUGAAAGCCCGCGGCCCAACCGCGGGACUGCAUUGGGAACUACCGGGCUGGAGUGCCGGAGAGGUAGGCGGAAUUCCUAGUGUAGCGGUGAAAUGCGUAGAUAGUAGGAGGAACACCAGUGGCGAAGGCGGCCUACUGGACGGUGACUGACGCUGAGGCUCGAAAGCGUGGGGAGCAAACAGGAUUAGAUACCCUAGUAGUC